CUUGGUCAUUUAGAGGAAGUAAAAGUCGUAACAAGGUUUCCGUAGGUGAACCUGCGGAAGGAUCAUUCAUAAUAAGUGUUCUACUGCACUUUUUAAAAAUAGUACUCACCUUGUGUGCAAUGUUUGUUAGACUCUUUCGGGAGUCUGACAUUUAUACCAACCUUUUAUAUUUUGAACCACUUUGUCUGAAAAAUAUUAUGAAUACUUAAUUCUAAAUACAACUUUCAACAACGGAUCUCUUGGCUCUCGCAUCGAUGAAGAACGCAGCGAAAUGCGAUACGUAAUGUGAAUUGCAGAAUUCAGUGAAUCAUCGAAUCUUUGAACGCACAUUGCACUCUCUGGUAUUCCGGAGAGUAUGCUUGUUUGAGUAUCAGUAAACACCUCAAAUCUCUACUUUAUUGUAAAGAAUUGGACUUGAGCAAUCCCAACUCUCGCAAGAGAGGAGGGUUGCUUGAAAUGCAGGUGCAGCUAGACAUUCUUCUGAGCUAAAAGCAUAUUUAUUUAGUCCCGUCAAACGGAUUAUUACUUUUGCUCUAGCUAAUAUAAAGGUUGAUUGCGCUACAUGCUGACUGAUGCAGGAUUCACAAGAACCGCAAGGUUUUUGUAAACUCGAUCUCAAAUCAAGUAAGACUACCCGCUGAACUUAAGCAUAUCAAUAAGCGGAGGAA
rnacentral:rRNA from 1 species